rnacentral:rRNA from 1 species
UACGGAGGGUGCGAGCGUUGUCCGGAAUCAUUGGGCGUAAAGAGCGUGUAGGCGGCCAGGUAGGUCGGUUGUGAAAACUGGAGGCUCAACCUUCAGACGUCGACCGAAACCAUCUGGCUAGAGUCCGGGAGAGGAGAGUGGAAUUCCUGGUGUAGCGGUGGAAUGCGCAGAUAUCAGGAGGAACACCGAUGGCGAAGGCAGGUCACUGGGCCGCAACUGACGCUGAGGAGCGAAAGCAUGGGGAGCGAACAGG